rnacentral:rRNA from 1 species
UGGGGAAUUUUGGACAAUGGGCGAAAGCCUGAUCCAGCAAUGCCGCGUGUGUGAAGAAGGCCUUCGGGUUGUAAAGCACUUUUGUCCGGAAAGAAAUCCUUGGCUCUAAUACAGUCGGGGGAUGACGGUACCGGAAGAAUAAGCACCGGCUAACUACGUGCCAGCAGCCGCGGUAAUACGUAGGGUGCAAGCGUUAAUCGGAAUUACUGGGCGUAAAGCGUGCGCAGGCGGUUUGCUAAGACCGAUGUGAAAUCCCCGGGCUCAACCUGGGAACUGCAUUGGUGACUGGCAGGCUAGAGUAUGGCAGAGGGGGGUAGAAUUCCACGUGUAGCAGUGAAAUGCGUAGAGAUGUGGAGGAAUACCGAUGGCGAAGGCAGCCCCCUGGGCCAAUACUGACGCUCAUGCACGAAAGCGUGGGGGAGCAAACAGGAUUAGAUACCCUGGUAGUCCACGCCCUAAAACGAUGUCAACUAGUUGUUGGGGAUUCAUUUCCUUAGUAACGUAGCUAACGCGUGAAGUUGACCGCCUGGGGAGUACGGUCGCAAGAUUAAAACUUAAAUGAAUUGACGGGGUCA